CGUGCGCAGAGGCCUUGCUCGGGGGCCGCGCUCCCGGCCGUAGGGGAGGCUCCGGGGCCGAGGCCGCGCGUGUCGGUGGAACUUGGGGCGCUACUGUUUUAUUCCCGUGACAAACUUAAGAACCAAGACCGAGUCGGCGGGACUUCUGCGCGGCGAGCGUCACCUGCGGUCGUCUUCGGAUCGAUUGCAUGUCACUGAGAGCUUGGGUGGGUCUGUCCCACCGUGUAGAGUCAGCCCCGCCAGCCCUGGCUCCCCCAGGUCUCUCCUUGAAGUGUCCUUGAAGAUUUUGUUUAUUCGUGAGAGACCCAGAGAGAGAAGCAGGCUCCCUGCGUGGAGCCCGACGUGGGACCCGAUCCGGGUCUCCAGGAUCACGCCUGGACCGAAGGAAGAUGCUAAACCGCUGAGCCACCCAGGGAUCCCCAAUGAAUCUCCUUUUGAUUGAGAUCGUAGGGCCGGAUUCUCAGAAGGAUAAGCUGCUGUUAUGUGGUCAUGCUUCAGUUGGCCCAAAUCUAUUUUCCCAUAUAUAUUUGGUCUUUGUCCAUGGUCUCUGGCUCACAGGCCCCAGAACCCUUGUGGCUUCGUGGAUGAUGAGUCAGGGGAGCAUCUCCUGUUGUAAUAUCCAGUUUCCCCCAGGUGCAAAGGUGGAAUGGGCGUUUUUGUUAUUCAGGACAAGCCCCUUUCAACCACAACUGCCAAUGAGGUGACUCUUAGAAGUUCCCCAGAGAUCCUGGGGGCUCUGGUUGCCAGGAGAAAUGACCAAAAAUGGGAGGUUGGAACCUUUAGUGCCACCCUGAUGGGUCUCCCUGGAGAGGAGAGAGAGGCUGGAGGGUAAACCGAUGACCAGUGAUUUAAUUGGUCAUGUCUAAGUAAGGAAGCUGCCUUACAAACCUGGGAGGAGAGUGCCUGACGGCUCAGCUGGUUAAGCAUCUGCCUUCCGCUCAAGGCAUGAUCCCAGAUUCUGAUUUGGAGCCCCAAGUUGGGCUCCCUGCUCAGUGGGGAGUCCGCUGCUCCCUGUGCCUCUAGGUGCCCACCCCCACUCCCACGCUCACCCUAUACCCACCACUCUCACUCAUCACAUGUACACUCUAUCUCAAAUAAAUAAAUAAUUUUUAAAAAGAUUUUAUUUAUGUAUUCAUGAGAGAGGCAGAGACACAGGUAGAAGGAAAAGCAGGCUCCAUGAGGGGUGCCCGAUGUGGGACUUGACCACCGGGCCCCGGGAUCAUGAGCUGGGAGGAAGGCAGAUGCUCAACCACUGAGCCACCCAGGCUUCCCAAUAAAUAAAAAUCUUAAAAAAAAAAAAAGGAGGGGGAGGUUGGAGAGCGUCCGGGUGGUGAGCCAGAGAGUUUGUAUGUGCCACCAUGCUGGGGCCCAGACAACACAAAGACAGAAGCUCUUUUGGAAUCUUGCCCUUUGUAUGGCUACAUUUGGCUGUUGGUUUGUAUCUUUCAGUAUCCUUUGGAUAUCAUCCAGUGAGUAAAUGGAAGGUAUUUUUAGCUAACAAACUGAAGAAAAGAUAACGGGGAAAUAAUAAUGGAGAGGAGAACCUAUACAUUUUUCAAAAAAACAUUCAUUACGUUUAAAAUAUUUCCCAUUUAGACAUUUACCCAAGUUUGCAACACUUUUUAAAAUAGAGUGAAUGGGGGCAUCCCUGGUGGCUCAGCGGUUUAGUGCCGCCUUCGGCCCAGGGUGUGAUCCUGGAGACCCGGGAUCGAGUCCCACGUCGGGCUCCCUGCAUGGAGCCUGCAUCUCCCUCUGCCUGUGUCUCUGCUUCUCUCUCCUCUCUGUAUAUUCUCAUGAAUAAAUAAAAUAAAAUAGAGUGAAUGGUAUGUGAGGACAUGGACAAUCUCCUAGAUAUAAAUUCAAAGAAAAAUUUACAGAAUACACAGGAUGCUCCCAUUUCUUGAUUACAUAUACACACUCAUACAACAGACUCCUACCCUAUAUGCAUAGGUUAUUUGGAAGGUAUGCACAAGAAGCUGCUCCAGGGAAUGUCUAGGUUCCAGGGGUCUGACUAAAGCACACAAAGUCACCGCAUAAACCUCGUCACUCAUUAAUUGUUCUCAUGACAUUCAAAAGACCAUUUUAAUUUUUUUUACGAUUUAUUUAUUUGAGAGACAGAGAAAGAGGGU